UUUCUUUUCAGUGGUAUUGCUCCACCUCAAAGAGUAAGCAGUCGCACGGAAGGUGAACAAAUAGUUAUGACGGACAAUGUGGUCUACGAGAGCUUCCCUUUGGGCGAAACUAAGACUGAAAUAUCAGAGGGGCACACAAACAACGUGGUGGUCUAGGUUACCAGGUAUCAAACAUGCGGUGGCA